AAAAAAAUAAACCUUAAGUUUUCGUGUGACUGCUCGUUUUAUAUGAAUUUUUUUUAUAACUACUAUUUUCAUUGUUGUUAGAUGAUAAAACAUAAUUAAUACUUUAUGCGUGACUUGUCUUUUUAAUUUUUUUUAUAUUUUUUUCAAAUAAAACAGACGAUCAAACGUUUAACACGGAAACCCGAGUUUAUU
rnacentral:pre_miRNA from 1 species